CUGGGGCAACCAGGUCUCUAGGUGACCUUGGCUUCCCCCGGGGGUUGCAUACACGAGAGUGCUGUCCAUCUCCCCACCUCCACAGCCCAGCAGCCUUCCCUGACUCCUGUCCCCAUCUCUGGGCUCAGUCUACCUUCAGUCCCCCCACGUCCCCCGAGUGAAAGAGGUCUGGACCGAGGGUGGCGCUCAGCAUCUGACUGUCGAGAGCACAGUGCUCCAGUGAACUUGCUCUUCCGUUCUCCAUUAGAAUGGGCCCGUGACCUCACCAUACUGCCCUGAACUCUCCAAACUGGGUCUUUACUGGUCAACAGAUGUGCUUUUUGUCAAUUACCCCUUGUCUCACUCUAGUCCUCUCUGUACAGAUCAGAUUUACUGAGAUAUCCAAUCACAGAGUCGUCCCUCUUCCUGACAUCACCCGUUCCCGGAACCCAUUCUGGUGGGUGAAUGAACCUCCGCUUCUUUAGCUCUUUAUAAGCCAAGCAAAGUGCAAAUCCUAUAACAGCUUCUAUCUAAUCCUCUCCUACUGAAAGUCCCCGUGGUUCCCUAUGGUGAGCCUCUGCCUCUCUCCAGUAAGUCAUAAACCCAGCUGGUUCAUACAGGUGAGUUCCUGGUGGUCUUUCCUGGAAUGCAUUGACACGCUUACCCGGUAGUUUGGAAAAAUCUGGGCUGGGGAGUUCUGAGAAAGCAUUGAGAUAGUAUCUGCCCAUGUAAGUGGUUUGUGUUCGUCUGUUUCUCCGCAAUUCACCUUGCAUCCUUUUUGCAAACCCUGAGGCCAGAUUGCAUCUGUGCUGAGCAGAGCUUUGCUGAAGGCCUGUUAGAACCUUGACCUCUCUCAAAGGGGCAGACCCAGCUCAAGCAUUUCUGGACACUUGCCUUGUCAGCCAGUCUUGCUUUCCUAAUCGAGCCCCAGAUCUGCCGCUGCUUCAGGGAGGCAGGUGUGACAUUGUGAAGGCCACUGUCAGGUGCAUCCUGGCACUCCGGUCUCAUUUUAAAUGAUGCAGUGACCACUGGGCCAAUUAAGGUCAGAAAUUUUACACUGUGAAUGCAUAAUAUCAAAGUGAUUUUAAAAUGUCUUAGGCUUUCUUGAAUUUGACUUUGAAAUUCACAAUUUCUGAUAUACAUAAGUAGUACCUAUUUUCGCCCAAGCUACAAGGCAGCUGAGAGGCAUGACCCACACCCUUGUCCUAUGCCUAAUGAAUUCAGUCAGGAAAGCUUGGUCCUCACAGUACCCAAUAUUCCUGUUAAAAGGAAUUAGUAGGGAGCUCCCAUUGCGGUACAGAGGAAAUGAAUCUGACCAGUAUCUAUGAAGAUACAAGUUCCAUUCCUGGCCUCACUCAGGUUCAAACCCGCAACCUCAUGGUUCCCAGUCGGAUUCGUUAACCACUGAGCCAUGACAGGACUCCCUAAUUCUAUGAAUUCUAAUUCUAGUUUAAUUCUAUGAAUUCUAAUGAAUUCUAGUUAUUUAUAUCUUUGGCUAGUUUCCCAAAUAGUUUGAACUACUUUUCCGAGACAUAUUUUAAGAAAGUAGGAUUAAAUAAUUAGAAACACACAGGCACACAACAGAGGGGAAAUCAGAGCAGCAAGCGCCCCAGAGAGAGGCGCUCUGGGACUGUCUCCCAACCCUUCCCAGCUCUUCCAACCAGCUCAAUCCCACAUCGCCCUCCACCCACCUUCCCGACCUCCCACUCCCCCAGACCAUUGUCCCUCUGCAGAACUCCUCUCCUAAACUCUGUUAGUCACCACGAGAAACUCCAGAGCCCCCAGGUCAUCCCUGUCAUAUUCCGUAUCCUCCUGGGGAAUCUGUUCCCCUUUCUCAUCCUUCGCAAAAACCACAAAACUCCCCUCUGGAAUCCAUCAGCAAAACCUCAUUCUCUUCUCCCAUCACCUUGUGCAAUAACUCCCCUGGGACCCUCUCAAGAGAGACUGCCUCCCUGAACCCAGUCUUCCCUGAACCCCGUCCUCCCUGCCUCCCUCUGCUGCUUUGAUACCAGGCCCCUUUCCGCUUCCCCAAACUCCCAGCUUCGAAUUUCACAUCAUGAAACUCAAUCACCUGCCAACCCUCAUUUCUGGAGCUCUGACCACUGGCACACAUUUCUGAACCUGA
rnacentral:lncRNA from 1 species